rnacentral:rRNA from 1 species
AACGUAGGGGACAAGCGUUAUCCGGAUUUACUGGGCGUAAAGCGCACGUAGGCGGGCAGGUAAGUUGGACGUGAAAGCUCCCGGCUUAACUGGGAGAGGUCGUACAAAACUGUCUGUCUUGAGGCAGAGAGAGGAGAGCGGAAUUCCCGGUGUAGUGGUGGAAUGCGUAGAUAUCGGGAGGAACACCAGUGGCGAAGGCGGCUCUCUGGCUCAGGCCUGACGCUGAGGUGCGAAAGCGUGGGGAGCGAACGGG